rnacentral:rRNA from 1 species
UACGGAGGGUGCAAGCGUUGCUCGGAAUUAUUGGGCGUAAAGGGUAGGUAGGUGGUCUCAUUUGUCUGGGGUGAAAGCCUUGAGCUUAACUCAAGAAGUGCCCCAGAAACGGUGAGACUGGAGUCCUGGAGAGGGUCGUGGAAUUCCCGGUGUAGCGGUGAAAUGCGUAGAGAUCGGGAGGAACACCAGAGGCGAAAGCGGCGACCUGGACAGGCACUGACACUCAAAUACGAAAGCGUGGGGAGCAAACAGG